rnacentral:rRNA from 1 species
UACGGAGGGAGCUAGCGUUAUUCGGAAUUACUGGGCGUAAAGCGCACGUAGGCGGCUUUGUAAGUAAGAGGUGAAAGCCCAGAGCUCAACUCUGGAAUUGCCUUUUAGACUGCAUCGCUUGAAUCAUGGAGAGGUCAGUGGAAUUCCGAGUGUAGAGGUGAAAUUCGUAGAUAUUCGGAAGAACACCAGUGGCGAAGGCGGCUGACUGGACAUGUAUUGACGCUGAGGUGCGAGAGCGUGGGGAGCAAACAGG